GGGGAAUAUUGCACAAUGGAGGGAACUCUGAUGCAGCGACGCCGCGUGAGCGAUGAAGGAAUUCGUUCCGUAAAGCUCUGUCCUAUGGGACGAUAAUGACGGUACCAUAGGAGGAAGCCCCGGCUAACUACGUGCCAGCAGCCGCGGUAAUACGUAGGGGGCGAGCGUUGUCCGGAUUUACUGGGCGUAAAGGGUACGCAGGCGGCCAUGUAAGUCAGAUGUGAAAGGCUACGGCUUAACCGUAGCAAGCAUUUGAAACUGUGUGGCUUGAGUUAAGGAGAGGAAAGUGGAAUUCCUGGUGUAGCGGUGAAAUGCGUAGAUAUCAGGAGGAAUACCAGUGGCGAAGGCGACUUUCUGGACUUAUACUGACGCUGAGGUACGAAAGCGCGGGGAGCAAACA
rnacentral:rRNA from 1 species